CAAGUCGAGCGAACGGACGAGAAGCUUGCUUCUCUGAUGUUAGCGGCGGACGGGUGAGUAACACGUGGAUAACCUACCUAUAAGACUGGGAUAACUUCGGGAAACCGGAGCUAAUACCGGAUAAUAUUUUGAACCGCAUGGUUCAAAAGUGAAAGACGGUCUUGCUGUCACUUAUAGAUGGAUCCGCGCUGCAUUAGCUAGUUGGUAAGGUAACGGCUUACCAAGGCAACGAUGCAUAGCCGACCUGAGAGGGUGAUCGGCCACACUGGAACUGAGACACGGUCCAGACUCCUACGGGAGGCAGCAGUAGGGAAUCUUCCGCAAUGGGCGAAAGCCUGACGGAGCAACGCCGCGUGAGUGAUGAAGGUCUUCGGAUCGUAAAACUCUGUUAUUAGGGAAGAACAUAUGUGUAAGUAACUGUGCACAUCUUGACGGUACCUAAUCAGAAAGCCACGGCUAACUACGUGCCAGCAGCCGCGGUAAUACGUAGGUGGCAAGCGUUAUCCGGAAUUAUUGGGCGUAAAGCGCGCGUAGGCGGUUUUUUAAGUCUGAUGUGAAAGCCCACGGCUCAACCGUGGAGGGUCAUUGGAAACUGGAAAACUUGAGUGCAGAAGAGGAAAGUGGAAUUCCAUGUGUAGCGGUGAAAUGCGCAGAGAUAUGGAGGUACACCAGUGGCGAAGGCGACUUUC
rnacentral:rRNA from 1 species